rnacentral:rRNA from 1 species
GGCGAACGGGUGAGUAACACGUAAGGAAUCUACCUAUAAGCGGGGGAUAACAUUCGGAAACGGGUGCUAAUACCGCAUAAUAUCUUCUUCCGCAUGGAAGAAGAUUGAAAGACGGCUCUGCUGUCACUUAUAGAUGACCUUGCGGUGCAUUAGUUAGUUGGUGGGGUAACGGCCUACCAAGACGAUGAUGCAUAGCCGACCUGAGAGGGUGAUCGGCCACAUUGGGACUGAGACACGGCCCAAACUCCUACGGGAGGCAGCAGUAGGGAAUCUUCCGCAAUGGGCGAAAGCCUGACGGAGCAAUGCCGCGUGAGUGAAGAAGGCCUUCGGGUCGUAAAACUCUGUUAUAAGAGAAGAACAAAUUGUAGAGUAACUGCUACAGUCUUGACGGUAUCUUAUCAGAAAGCCACGGCUAACUACGUGCCAGCAGCCGCGGUAAUACGUAGGUGGCAAGCGUUGUCCGGAUUUAUUGGGCGUAAAGGGAGCGCAGGUGGUUUCUUAAGUCUGAUGUGAAAGCCCACGGCUUA